ACAAUUGAAGGCACUGAAUGCUCAAGGAAUAUUCAUGUAGUAAUGAUUGAUUACACUGGUGCCACUUUUGAGAUAGUUGUAAGUUGAAGUUGAAAUCAGUGACACAAUUUUUGUUGCACAAAUAAAUAGGCUGGAAGGCCAUUUUGGGCUAAAAGGUUACCAAAGUAGGUUGACUCCACUCGGGAAACCUUUGACAAAAGCAAAUACUUACCAUGUGACAACAGUCUAGUCUAAAAAAAGCAUUCAAGUUCACAACAGUGAAGCAAACGAGGCAAUCUUGCAAACAAUAAGCUCCAAAUAAAGAGUGCAACUAUAUAAGUGGAAUAGCUUUGAAACAUUUUAAAUUUCACUUUUUUACAGGAUUUCAUCAUUUAAAUAACAGUUGGGUGGAACAUCAAUGCAUUUUCGCUGCAUAAUGCCUGAUGUAUGUCAUAACUAGGCUAGUCUUAGAAAUCCAACAAAGCGAAGAUGCCUUCACCAGUGCUUGUUUGCUUAGUUGCAACAUGUAUGCUAACAUAAUCAGUUCACAGUCCAAUGCAUGAAAUUUAAAAAGGCCAAAUUACGUUUAUCGACAACCAUCUCAUGCCUUCUGAUAUUCACCAUUUGCUGUGAACUUUGGCAAGAAAAAAAAUCAUUUUGCCUGGAUUCUCAAUUUCAUAGUUGCUGAAAUAAUUGGAAAGUGUUGUCACUGAAACACCUGGCAUAUGUUUCAUUUGUUCUGUUCAUUCUCUCAGAUAUUCAAGCACAUAAUGCAGCGUUUGUUAAAGAAUAGGCAUAAGGUAGGUGUACUUCAUUGUAGACUAAGAUUAUUUGUUAUUUUAUGUGUAUUCGAUAUAAUCACAAGGGAAUAAAUACUAUGUUGAAAGUUGUCCUAUGGUAGAACACUGCAUUGUGGUGUAAUGCAGCACUUAAAAAAGAGGGGGGAGAAUUCUGAAAACUGCUCCUGUCUAUUUCACACUAUUUAUCUCCUUGCCUUUGAAGUAACUUGCAUCAUUGCCUUUGCUCUGCCUCUUCGACAUACCUCAUGAGCUCUUUGCUCUAAUUUUCGUCUUCAUUAUUUGGCAAUGUCGCGCUUGUUGCUAACUUAAAAAGAGAAACUGGCACUCUGCCUUUUUAAAAUCUGAAAACAUAUGGAGACGACUGUGCAAAAGCAUUCCUACAUUGUAAGGAUGUUUAAAUACUCACUCAUAAAUGCAUAGUAAUAUGUAUCUUUUUCAGACUAAACAUUAACUUUUCAAUUGCAGAGUUUUGAAAACUUUGCGGCAGAUUGUGGAUACCAUUUAUGAAUGAAAAACAUGCUCGAAUGUUGACGAGCUGUAUCACUGCACUUUACCACUACACUGAAUGUGUUGCUGGCCUUUCUUUUUGUUACUGUUUUUAAUGUGGGGCCAGUUGUGUAAUGGCAAAUGUAAAGGCUCCCCUUCAACGAACACAUUUUUAAAGCACUUGUAUCAUUCCUUAGGUGCAAAAUUAUGUACAGCCAUGUUUCAGAUUACAUGCCCCAUUAUGUUCAUUUUGAGUGUCAUGUUGUCCUGUCACGCAUUUCUUGUAAUGCUUUUUUGUUGGCUUUCUGUUUAAUUGGUGCCUCCCUAUUUGUUCAUUAAUUUUUUAAGUUGAGGUGGUCGGUGUUUUUCAUAGCCGAUGGUAAUACUUUAACGUAUAUACAUUGUUGUUUUUCCAUGGUAUUUCUAUGGUAUUGCGCACAAUGUCCUUAGCUACUAUUUAAUUUUGUUCCUUGCAUUUAUAUUAUGUUAUGUAUUCUCUGUAUGAGUAUCCAAAAUAAGUAAUGAGUGUCAACAGUGUUAUUGUGUUGUUGUGUUGGUGCAUGUUACUACUGGGCCCAUCAAACUGCUUUGGUUGUCCUGACCUCCAGUGUGAGCUGGGACAUUGAAUACCCUUUAACAAUGUCAUAGUGUAUGUUGUGUUGCAUUUGGUCACAUUAGACCUGAUGUGUGUGAUUAUGUGCACUGCAAAAUGAUUUCAUAUGUUACCCGUAGGGACACCAUGGAGAGUUGAACAGUGUGAGAGUGAACACUGUCUGCCAGUUUGUUGUAUUUGUCAACAUGCAACUUUUUUUAAAAGUGGGGCAGACUGCUGCUUCAGAGACGUGGAACAAUAACACCAGUCAGCAUGGGAAUAGACACAGUGUUCAUGUGAUUCAGUGAAAACUAAAACUAUGAAACAUAAAAACUUGCAACACGGAACACAUUGCAGGCUUCAUGUGCAUCUAGGCCCAUCUAUUAUCCGUGUCAGUGUGAGAACCAAUACUUCACUCCUUGUCUUUGUGGUUUUGCAAUGCCUACGUUGUUGCCACGAAGUUGGCGCCAAGUUUGUGCACUUGGUGGCUACAACUACUCCAGCAAAAAGCAGUAAUCGGCAUUGGCAUAGUCAUUGCUGCCACUUGCAGUGUGUGCCCAAGUUGAUGGUUGUGUCAGCUGCUGUCACACAAGCUGCAGAAGUAGCUGCUGCUAACAUGAAGCACAGAAUUGCUGCCAUUCGCAGUGUUACAAUUAAUGUAGGGUGCUUAGCCGCAAUUUAGACUACCAUUCAGGUGCUUUCAGCAUUUAACUUUGUUUAAAUCACAACUAGUAAUUUAUUAAAGCACUUUUCAUUUUACAAUAUGUGCAAGGUUUGAUAACUGAAGUUCUGUUUUGCACGCUUCCACUUUAUGCUCAAGUCAGUAUGCAUUCAAAAAAAGGUCUAGAAAGGUUAUAAUUUUCUCAAACUGUCUUCGUGGUAUCAUAUUAUGUCAUUACAUCUUUGUAGUUUUGCGGCAUGACUGUAUCAUUAGUCAUGGGCUUUUCUAAUUACAGUGAAAUUGUAGGCUUUGCAUGUUAAACCUAAGACUGCAGAAUAGGGAAAAUCUUUGAAGACAGACAUUAGCUUGCCUUUCGUAGUUCUUGCACAUUCAUGUAUAACUUAGUUGUGUUUAAACACGUUUGUUCGCAGUCUCCUUGAGUAAGUUGCUUGCGCUUACACAUUGAGUGAUGCACAACGUUGAGAACUGCAUCAAGUAAAGGUGCCUUAGAGCAUCCCAGAUGUACUUUCAUGUACUCAUUUUAUUUUAUGUGCUCUGUGGUAUGUAUUUAGGUGCGUUAGCUAUAUAUGACAACUGUGUUAGACAACAGGUGGUUAUGGUGAUCUGGUAAAUUAUUUAACAUGUUGGUGCAUGUUGUGAUGAAUAUUUCUUAUGCUUAGAAACUGUAGAAGAACUGCAAAUAACAUCUUGUAACACUGCUCCAUUUAUAACAUGCCUAGUGGUGUAAUACAGAAUUUUGAUACCUCGCACACUUCCAUGAUUGUCUGAUUUCAUAUGGUGGGGAAGGCGAAUUUUUCCAUUGGGUGAUUCUUCACCACCUAUCUUUUAUCACCACAUAAGUUCAAUGGAAACAUUUAAACAAGAAUUAGGAUGGGUAAUGUAUUAAGUUGCUGAAAUGUUGCGCUGUAAUUUGUUUAACUAAGAAAUGCACUAUGUAAUAUAAAAUGCCCUUCUUUACUUUUACUGGUACUAUUUUUGUUAUGACUGCUAAUUUACACUUCAUUGACGGAACAUUUUCAUUUGUUAACUGCAUUCUGCUAUUCAUCACUUAUGUGCAUUUUUCUAUCUACCACAACUCGUCAGAAAAAAAUGUGCCUGGUAGAAUUUUAAGAUGAGUUUAAUGGUAUAUAAUAUCAUUCACUAGCAAUAUCUGUGAUGUGGCAAAUCAGAAUGUGGGCAUAUCAAUGUUACACCCAGCUGAAAAUUAAGUUUCAGCUGAAGCUGAAACUCACUGCAAGAAUAUUUCAGAAGUGGUUAUUCUUAACGUGAUCUUUCAAGAGAAAAUGAACUUUAUUCAGAAGGAUGGUUAGAAUCCUCUAAAUUGCAAUAUGCGUCAUAGGAGUAAACGUACUGGCAUUUCAAA
rnacentral:lncRNA from 1 species